UACGAGGGGGGCAAGCGUUGUUCGGAAUUACUGGGCGUAAAGCGCGCGCAGGCGGUCUUCCAAGUCAGUGGUGAAAGCCUGGAGCUCAACUCCAGAACUGCCAUUGAGACUGUUAGACUUGAGUACGAGAGAGGUGAGUGGAAUUCCCAGUGUAGAGGUGAAAUUCGUAGAUAUUGGGAAGAACACCGGUGGCGAAGGCGGCUCACUGGCUCGUAACUGACGCUCAGGCGCGACAGCGUGGGGAUCAAACAGG
rnacentral:rRNA from 1 species